rnacentral:rRNA from 1 species
UACGGGGGGGGCAAGCGUUGUUCGGAAUUACUGGGCGUAAAGGGCUCGUAGGUGGCCAACUAAGUCAGACGUGAAAUCCCUCGGCUUAACCGGGGAACUGCGUCUGAUACUGGAUGGCUUGAGUUCGGGAGAGGGAUGCGGAAUUCCAGGUGUAGCGGUGAAAUGCGUAGAUAUCUGGAGGAACACCGGUGGCGAAGGCGGCAUCCUGGACCGACACUGACGCUGAGGUGCGAAAGCGUGGGGAGCAAACAGG